rnacentral:rRNA from 1 species
GAUGAACGCUGGCGGCGUGCCUAAUACAUGCAAGUCGAGCGAACGGACGAGAAGCUUGCUUCUCUGAUGUUAGCGGCGGACGGGUGAGUAACACGUGGAUAACCUACCUAUAAGACUGGGAUAACUUCGGGAAACCGUAGCUAAUACCGGAUAAUAUUUUGAACCGCAUGGUUCAAAAGUGAAAGACGGUCUUGCUGUCACUUAUAGAUGGAUCCUCGCUGCAUUAUCUAGUUGGUAAGGUAACGGCUUACCAAGGCAACGAUGCAUAGCCGACCUGAGAGGGUGAUCGGCCACACUGGAACUGAGACACGGUCCAGACUCCUACGGGAGGCAGCAGUAGGGAAUCUUCCGCAAUGGGCGAAAGCCUGACGGAGCAACGCCGCGUGAGUGAUGAAGGUCUUCGGAUCGUAAAACUCUGUUAUUAGGGAAGAACAUAUGUGUAAGUAACUGUGCACAUCUUGACGGUACCUAAUCAGAAAGCCACGGCUAACUACGUG